ACAGCAGCAGCCACGGUAAUACCAGCACCUCGAGUGGUCAGGAGGUUUAUUGGGCCUAAAGCAUCCGUAGCCGGUUGCAUAAGUUUUCGGUUAAAUCUAUGCGCUUAACGUAUAGGCCGCCGAAAAUACUGUGCAGCUAGGGAGUGGGAGAGGUACACGGUACUCGAUAGGAAGGGGUAAAAUCCUUUGAUCUAUUGAUGACCACCUGUGGCGAAGGCGGUGUACCAGAACACGUUCGACGGUGAGGGAUGAAAGCUGGGGGAGCAAACAGGAUUAGAUACCCCAGUAGUCCCUGUCUCUUAUAC
rnacentral:rRNA from 1 species